rnacentral:lncRNA from 1 species
UCAAAGAUAAAUAUUAGAGAUUUAUAAUUUAAGUUAUCCAGAGUUCAAGAAUAUCCAAAUUGUCAACAUGAUAACUAAUUGUGGAGUAAAAUUCAAGAAUGAUAUUCAUGUAUCAAAAAUAAUUUGGACAAAAAAAAACCAAUUUUAUCGUGAAUAGUACCCCAUGAAUAGUACCCCGAAUGAAUAUUACUCCGUAAAUAGUACCCCGAAUGAAUAGUACUCCG